GACGUAGGGCGCAAGCGUUGUCCGGAUUCGAUUGGGCGUAAAGGGUGCGUAGGUGGCGCCGUAAGUCGGGUGUGAAAUUUCGGAGCUUAACUCCGAAACUGCAUUCGAUAACUGCGGUGCUUGAGGACUGGAGAGGAGACUGGAAUUCAUGGUGUAGCAGUGAAAUGCGCAGAUAUCAGGAGAACACCCGUGGCGAAAGCGGCUCUCUGGAACGGUACUGACGGCUGAGACGCGAAAGCGUGGG
rnacentral:rRNA from 1 species